UGCGAGUGCCUCAAGCGUUAUCCGGAAUUAUUGGGCGUAAAGAGCUCGUAGGCGGUUUGUCGCGUCUGCUGUGAAAACCCGAGGCUCAACCUCGGGCCUGCAGUGGGUACGGGCAGACUAGAGUGCGGUAGGGGAGAUUGGAAUUCCUGGUGUAGCGGUGGAAUGCGCAGAUAUCAGGAGGAACACCAAUGGCGAAGGCAGAUCUCUGGGCCGUAACUGACGCUGAGGAGCGAAAGCAUGGGGAGCGAACAGG
rnacentral:rRNA from 1 species